rnacentral:rRNA from 1 species
UACGUAGGCAGCAAGCGUUGUUCGGAGUUACUGGGCGUAAAGGGUGUGUAGGCGGCUUCGUAAGUUCGGUGUGAAAUCUCCUGGCUUAACUGGGAGGGUGCGCCGAAAACUGCGGAGCUGGAGCGCAGGAGAGGAAAGCAGAAUUCCUGGUGUAGCGGUGAAAUGCGUAGAUAUCAGGAGGAAUACCGGUGGGUGAAGGCGGCUUUCUGGACUGCUGCUGACGCUGAUACACGAAAGCGUGGGGAGCAAACAGG